CAUAACAUUUGGCUAAAACGAAAAGCAAAAUGAGUGAGACGAUUCCAACACCUAAUCGCACAAUACGCCGCCGUUCAAUCCUCCUCCGCUGUUCAAUCUCCUCCGCCACCGUUUAUUCUCCUCCGCCGCUGUUUAAUCUGGAAGCACAAUCCGUCAAUCUCUCGGAUGUUCUCCUUCAAACCCUACUCCGUCGAAGAACCACAACCCCUCCGCCGGACGUCUCUGUCGUUCUUUGCAUUUCCAAGGAUGAGGAGGGGGACCAAUAAGAAAAUGAGGAGGGGAACAACCAUGAUAAAGAUGCUUGUGGGAAGCUCAUUAUACGUCGUAUUUAUACUGGGUUUACUCCAAGCGAUGUGGCUGCUGCAGCGAUUAGGCGUGUUAUAGAACCAACUUUUUCAGACAAUAUCACUUGCUAUAGUGAUAUCACCCUAGAAAAAGAUAAAACAAUUUGGUUUGAAAGAUUUGGAGUAAGACAUAAUUAAUUUUGUGGUGAUUUGAUAAUUUUGUGGUGAUUUGAUGACUUUGUUGAGCCUAUGUAACAAAUUAUUAUUUUAUUAUUUCUGAUGUUAGCUUCAUGGGUAUCCCACCACGCGCAACAAAUUAAAACCACAUUUCAUCAAAAAUGCGGCAAACGUUUGAAUUCUCAUGAUUUAGUGUGGGUGGUUAUAUGCUCAUGAUUUCUUACUUCAAUGCUUCUUUGUGUUCUGUUUUCCAUUAUCAUCAAUUGGAAGUAACAGAGGUAUUUCUGUUGCAUCUGAAAUGAUAUUUGCUUCCAUGUGAUUGUGGCAUUUCCUUUUUUCUUUAUUUCCUUCUUGUAUAUCUUUAUACAUUAUUGAUUUGAGAUGCAACAAUUAUAAUGAUGUUCAAUGUUUAAUCUUAUAAUUUUGUAUUCGCAGGGCAUUCAUAUAAACUCAGAAUGUUAUGUUUCUUCUAUUCUUUUACCAUGCUGAAAUAUGGUACAAUGUCUUUGGUAAAACAAAAAAGACAUUACUCUUUUGAGAAGCAGAGUUCAGUUGAGUUAAAUAGUGUGACAAAUUCUCAAUAUGCCUUUGACACUUCACUUUAUCUUUGAUUAUAAUGAGUAUAUUAUUUUAUGCCGUUGACACUUCACUUUCUUUGGACUUUGGUUUUAAUGAGUAUAUUGGUAGAGAUUAUGGUUAUGAGAAAUUAUGGUAGCUACUGUAAAAGAUAAUGAUUUUUUGAUAUAUUUUAUACCAAUAUAUGUGCCUUUCGUGGAUGGUAUUUUAAAAAGAAAAUAAAACAAGAGCCUUGGUUAUAGAACAAACUUUUCCAGACUUUUCUCCGGCAGAUGUGGCUGCUGCAGCGAUUAGGCAGGCUGAAUAUCAUGAAAAUUUGGCCAAAGUGACACAAACUGAUGGUGGUGCUACUCGUGACAUUCAAGAGGUUGAUGGAUCGCAAAGAAUUCAAAUAUGGAAAGAUGUUUCCAAGGGUAAGUCUCGGGGGAAGAUGUUAUGGUACUAGACACUUGGCUAAAAACCUUAAGUAUAAAAAAUUGAUUUAUGAGGCAGAGGCACCUCACAAUAGGGCAGAGAACCAGAUCAUUGAAGCUGCUAGAGCUGAGGCUGCUGCAGCACGUGCAGAUGCUGAGGCUGCUAGAGCUGAGGUUGCUCAGCACGUGCAGAUGCUGAUGCUGCUAGAGCCGAGGCUGCUGCGUCAACUGCGAGAACCAGAUCAUUGGAAAUAAAGUUUAAAGAAUUCCAAAGUCGCAUGAUGGCUUUGGAGACGGCCUCCUGUAGUGGUCAUUCUCGUCAGAGUUCUCAUCCUCAUUAUGAUAAUGAAUUGGAUGAUCAAUCGGUUGAUGAAGAGGAAGAUGCUUGAUUUUGUGGGUUAUUUUGAUAGUAAGUUUAAGAGCUAUUUUGAUAGGUUAUAUAUUUUGUGGGAUAUUUUGGUGGGUCAUAUAUUUUGUGGGUUGUUAUUUCGAUGGAUGUAGACCUUUUUGUUGACAUUUUAUAUAUAUGGUUAUAUACGAGAAAUAGAUGGUCAUGUUAAGAAUUGAUGAAUUUAAAUGGAUGUAGACCUUUUUGUUGAGAUUCUAUAUAUAUAUAUGAGAA